CCUACGGGAGGCAGCAGUAGGGAAUCUUCCACAAUGGGCGAAAGCCUGAUGGAGCAACGCCGCGUGGGUGAAGAAGGUCUUCUGAUCGUAAAACCCUGUUGUUAGAGAAGAAAGUGCGUGAGAGUAACUGUUCACGUUUCGACGGUAUCUAACCAGAAAGCCACGGCUAACUACGUGCCCGCAGCAGCGGUGAUACGUAGGUGGCAAGCGUUAUCCGGAUUGAUUGGGCGUAAAGGGAACGCAGGCGGUCUUUUAAGUCUGAUGUGAAAGCCUUCGGCUUAACCGGAGUAGUGCAUUGGAAACUGGGAGACUUGAGUGCAGAAGAGGAGAGUGGAAUGCGAGGUGUAGCGGUGAAAUGCGUAGAUAUAUGGAAGAACACCAGUGGCGAAGGCGGCACUCUGGUCUGUAACUGACGCUGAGGUUCGAAAGCGUGGGUAGCAAACAGGAUUAGAUACCCGAGUAGUC
rnacentral:rRNA from 1 species